rnacentral:rRNA from 1 species
AUUGAACGCUGGCGGCAGGCUUAACACAUGCAAGUCGAGCGGGGUGAGGUGCUUCGGUACUGAUCCUAGCGGCGGACGGGUGAGUAAUGCUUAGGAAUCUGCCAUUUAGUGGGGGACAACAUUCCGAAAGGGAUGCUAAUACCGCAUACGUCCUACGGGAGAAAGCAGGGGAUCUUCGGACCUUGCGCUAAAUGAUGAGCCUAAGUCGGAUUAGCUAGUUGGUGGGGUAAAGGCCUACCAAGGCGACGAGCGGUAGCGGGUCUGAGAGGAUGAUCCGCCACACUGGGACUGAGACACGGCCCAGACUCCUACGGGAGGCAGCAGUGGGGAAUAUUGGACAAUGGGCGGAAGCCUGAUCCAGCCAUGCCGCGUGUGUGAAGAAGGCCUUUUGGUUGUAAAGCACUUUAAGCGAGGAGGAGGCUACCUAGAUUAAUACUCUGGGAUAGUGGACGUUACUCGCAGAAUAAGCACCGGCUAACUCUGUGCCAGCCGCCGCCGUAAAAC